rnacentral:rRNA from 1 species
AUUGAACGCUGGCGGCAGGCCUAACACAUGCAAGUCGAGCGGAGAGGCGGACGGGUGAGUAAUGCCUAGGAAUCUGCCUGGUAGUGGGGGAUAACGUCCGGUAACGGGCGCUAAUACCGCAUCCUAUCAGAUGAGCCUAGGUCGGCUUAGCUAGUUGGUGGGGUAAAGGCCUACCAAGGCGACGAUCCGUAACUGGUCUGAGAGGAUGAUCAGUCACACGGGAACUGAGACACGGGCCAGACUCCUACGGGAGGCAGCAGUGAGGAAUAUUGGGCAAUGGGCGAAAGCCUAAUCCAGGCAUGCCGCGUGUGUGAAGAAGGUCUUCGGAUUGUAAAGCACUUCAAGUUGGGGGGCGUUACCAACAGAAUAAGCACCGGCUAACUUCGUGCCAGCAGCCGCGGUAAUUC